rnacentral:rRNA from 1 species
UACGGAGGGGGCUAGCGUUGUUCGGAAUUACUGGGCGUAAAGAGCGCGCAGGCGGUCGUUCAAGUCGCGUGUGAAAGCCCCCGGCUCAACUGGGGAGGGUCACGCGAUACUGAUCGACUCGAAGGCAGGAGAGGGUAGUGGAAUUCCCGGUGUAGUGGUGAAAUGCGUAGAUAUCGGGAGGAACACCGGUGGCGAAGGCGACAUCCUGGACCGGUAUUGACGCUGAGGCGCGAAAGCCAGGGGAGCAAACGGG